rnacentral:rRNA from 1 species
AUUGAACGCUGGCGGCAUGCCUUACACAUGCAAGUCGAACGGCAGCACGGGAGCAAUCCUGGUGGCGAGUGGCGAACGGUGAGUAAUAUAUCGGAACGUGCCCGGUCGUGGGGGAUAACGUAGCGAAAGCUACGCUAAUACCGCAUACGAUCUACGGAUGAAAGCGGGGGAUCGCAAGACCUCGCGCGAUUGGAGCGGCCGAUAUCAGAUUAGGUAGUUGGUGAGGUAAAGGCUCACCAAGCCGACGAUCUGUAGCUGGUCUGAGAGGACGACCAGCCACACUGGGACUGAGACACGGCCCAGACUCCUACGGGAGGCAGCAGUGGGGAAUUUUGGACAAUGGGCGCAAGCCUGAUCCAGCAAUGCCGCGUGCAGGAUGAAGGCCU